UACGUAGGGCGCAAGCGUUGUCCGGAAUUAUUGGGCGUAAAGCGCUCGUAGGCGGCUUGUCACGUCGGGUGUGAAAGCCCGGGGCUUAACCCCGGGUCUGCAUUCGAUACGGGCGAGCUAGAGUGUGGUAGGGGAGAUCGGAAUUCCUGGUGUAGCGGUGAAAUGCGCAGAUAUCAGGAAGAACACCCGUGGCGAAGGCGGCUCUCUGGGACGGUACUGACGCUGAGACGCGAAAGCUAGGGGAGCAAACAGG
rnacentral:rRNA from 1 species